rnacentral:rRNA from 1 species
UACGUAGGGGGCAAGCGUUGUCCGGAUUUACGUGGGCGUAAAGAGCGUGUGAGGCGGCCAAGCAGGUCCGUUGUGAAAACUGGAGGCUUAACCUCCAGAACGUCGACGGAAACCGCGCGGCUAGAGUCCGGAAGAGGAGAGUGGGAAAUUCCCGGGUGUUAGCGGUGAAAGUGCGCAGGAUAUCGGGAGGAACACCAAUGGCGAAGGCAGCUCGCUGGG